rnacentral:rRNA from 1 species
CGAGCGGCGGACGGGUGAGUAAUGCAUAGGAAUCUGCCCGAUAGUGGGGGAUAACGUGGGGAAACUCACGCUAAUACCGCAUACGUCCUACGGGAGAAAGCAGGGGAUCUUCGGACCUUGCGCUAUCGGAUGAGCCUAUGUCGGAUUAGCUAGUUGGUGAGGUAACGGCUCACCAAGGCGACGAUCCGUAGCUGGUCUGAGAGGAUGAUCAGCCACACUGGGACUGAGACACGGCCCAGACUCCUACGGGAGGCAGCAGUGGGGAAUAUUGGACAAUGGGGGAAACCCUGAUCCAGCCAUGCCGCGUGUGUGAAGAAGGCCUUCGGGUUGUAAAGCACUUUCAGCGAGGAAGAAGGCCUGAGGGCUAAUACCCUUCAGGAAGGACAUCACUCGCAGAAGAAGCACCGGCUAACUCCGUGCCAGCAGCCGCGGUAAUACGGAGGGUGCGAGCGUUAAUCGGAAUUACUGGGCGUAAAGCGCGCGUAGGUGGCUUGAUAAGCCGGUUGUGAAAGCCCCGGGCUCAACCUGGGAACGGCAUCCGGAACUGUCAGGCUAGAGUGCAGGAGAGGAAGGUAGAAUUCCCGGUGUAGCGGUGAAAUGCGUAGAGAUCGGGAGGAAUACCAGUGGCGAAGGCGGCCUUCUGGACUGACACUGACACUGAGGUGCGAAAGCGUGGGUAGCAAACAGGAUUAGAUACCCUGGUAGUCCACGCCGUAAACGAUGUCGACUAGCCG